UUUUUUUUUUUUUUUUUUACCCUGAGUAAUAUCCCUCCCACCCACACACACACACACACACACACACACACACACACACACACAUGCACUUUUAUUUCUCAUGAAUUUAGAUACAUUCUUAAGGAAAUAUCAGCAAAUUUAAUCCAAUAAUAUAUAAAAGGAGUAUGCACCAUGGCCAAGUAGGAUUUAUUUCAUGUACACAAGUUUGAGUCAACAUUUGAAAACCGACGUACUUUAUUAAAUCAACAGACUAAAAGAGAAAAACCAUAACAUAUCAAUCAAUGCUGAAAAAAAAUUGACAAAUCCAACACCCACUCACAAUAAAAACUCUUAGCAAAUGAGGAAUAGAGGACUUCCUCAACUUGAUAAAGAGUAUCUAAAAAACAAACAAACAAAAAACUACAGUUAACAUAAAUAACUGUGAAAGAUAAUGUUUUCUCUGUAAGAUUGAGCCUAGGGCAAGGACUUCUAUCACCACUCUUAUUUAACAUGGUCUUAAAUGCUAGCCACUAAAACAAGGAAAGAAAAAAGAAAGACAGAUGUGAAAGGGAAAAAAAUAAAGUUGUCUCUACUUUCAGAUUAAAUGAUUGUCGAAGUAGAAAAUCCUAAGUAAUCUAUAAAAAAGUUCAUAGAAUUAAUGAGUUCAGCAAAGUGACAGGUAUAAGAUCAACACACAAAAAUCAAUCACAUUCCUAUAUUAACAAUGAACAUGUGGGCUGAAGUCACUGAAGGAUGUAAGAGAAGCUUUGAAUAAAUUGAAAUAUCUUGAACAUAAUGACAAUAUUAGAAAGAUGGCAGUUCUUCCUAAAUGUAUCUAGAAAUGCAAUUUCAAUAAAAAUCGCAACAUUUCUCAUAAAAAGUGUAUAGGUACAGUAAUAGCCAAGACAGCUUUCAAGUUGUGAUAUGAUAAAUUAUAAAAAUGCAGAGAAAAUAAUAUUUGAAUAAAGUUAGAUAAAUAUAACUAUGGAAGAUGCUAGACAGUUUAGAUGAAUGUGGACAUGUAUAGCUACAUUUAUGAUUUUAAUGUAUGAUUGAGUUUCAAUUCAGUAGAUAAAAGAUGAACAGCUAAAUAGAUAUUGAGAAAAUUGACCCUCAACCCAUAAGCAUACAUUGGAAAUUGAUUAAGAAUUGUGUGCGUGUGUGUGUUACACACAUUUACCACUAGAGCGUUUAUGCAUUUGCACAAGGAAGUGGAAAAUCAUUACAUGGUUAUUUAUAAUAAUGAAAACUCAGAAACAAACUAAUUGGCCAUCAAAGCUAGAAUCAUGAAAUAAUUAUAGCAUUUCCAAAUAUGAAAUGCUAUUCAGUAGAUAAAAGAAUAAAGUACUUACAUGAAAAAAAUCUCAGAGGCAUAUUGUUGAGAAUAGAAAGUAAGUUAUAGAAAAUAUUCAGUAAAAAAUAACUACUUUUUUUAUUUCUUUAAAAGAGCCAAACACAACACAUUGCUAUCAAAAACAGAGUAACUUUCAGAAAGAUUACCUACCCUCUGUUUCAUGAUCCCUGAGUUCAACUGUAACUUCUCAGAGACCCUUCCAUCCAUGAUUUUUUUCCUUACAAAACGUGUUUCAUUAUAACCUAGAAAAUGUCAGUUCUUCCACAUUUGAAUCACUUCUUCUGAGGGAGCUCCUUUGAAAGAUAUAAGGGAAGACAUUCAAUCAUCAUGGUCCCCUUGAAUGACAGAAAAGAGGCAUAGGAACAGUUUCUACAAUGUUAGCAGCUCUUUUAAAAUACUGUCUGGGUAUGUCCUCCCUGUAAGACUGAAAUUAAACAAUAAAUGUUCCCUAACAUAUUUAAGAAAACAAAUACACACACACACCACACCCAUAUUUGGAGAGAGAGAUGACAACUAUAGCUUCAGGUCAGGAUAAAAAUAAUUUAUUUUCUAAGUAUAUCCCUUAAUGUGACAUUUGUCCAAAGAGUCAGUUAUAUAUGCACUAAAGAAUUAUUGGCAAUUUUUAUCACAUUUUUCCCCAUGUUAGUACCUUACACGUAGGAAGUUUUCAUUCAUUCACUUGUUCAAACAUUUAUUGACCAAUUCCUAUGUGCCAGUCUGUAACAUCCUGGGAAUACAGACAUGAUAAUAACAUGGCCCCUGUCCACAAAAGACACAAAAUUUUAAUAGGUAACAAGUAGGAUAAUUUAAAUAUGAAAUGCUUCAUAGGGUGUGAUAUCUACAAAGUACCAUUCUACCUAAAGGAAGAUGAGGGAACCUCAGAAUGAAAGAGUCUACUGAACUGAUCAAGAAAUAAUUUUUUCAACUUUAUACUAUUAAACUUAUUAAAUUGUUGCUAUCCUAUGAAAGUAUCUGUAUUCAGAGGAAACAAUUAUUUUGGAUAAUCUUGUCAGUACAGGUUAGGGAAAAUCCCAUGAACAAAAGUGAACUGCUUCCAACUCUUAAGAGUCAAGUACAAUUUUAGAAGGCCAGCUCUUGUCUUCUAAGGCAGAAGCAUUGUUACUGCUAGAAGUUGUCUAUGGUAUAUCAUUUCAGGAAUGACAGGUAGCUCUCUUUUCAUAUAUCCUAAAAUACCUCCCUCAGCCACUUCACUAUUGUCUAAAACAAUAUGAAUCAAUUUAUUCCUUCAUUCAUCCCUAAUUUCUGUCCCAUUAACGUGAAAAUAUUUUUGGAGAGGAAGUGGAUUAUCAUUACUCUAGCAUGGAGAUAUUUUGCUGUUUCCUGAGAAAAGCUUUAAAUAGCAAAAUAAAGGGGAAAUGAGUUCCCUAGAUACCAAAGGGACUAAAAGGCCACCACUGAGUGUGACAGGAAACAGAGAGAGAAGUUCUGCAAUAUGUGCAGAACACAAAUUCUCUUGUUUCAUUAUUUUACCAUUCUACUAAUUUCUUCUUUAAACUCCUUUGAACUUACCGCAAUGCUAACCAUCUGCCUUAUUCCCUCCACAUUUCUGAAUUCCCACGCAUCCCCUCAAGAAAACAUGAAAAAUUCUAUUUAAGCUCUAUGAAGUUCUUCUAACAAUCUCAGUUCUUCUGUUGAUAUCAGUCACUGAGAGGUCAAAACAAAAUGAUUCACAGACACCACAGAUCAAAGUAAGCACAAUGUAUAUUGUCUGCUUGUGCUCAUGAGUACACUUCUGAGCACUGUCCCACAAUAUAGUAGUGAGCAUUUGAGGCUCAAAUAAGACACUUUAUGUGCAAUACAACGUACAUCACCAGCAUGACUUGGAAGUCUUAUAUCUAGUCCUAUAAAUCCUUGGACUUUGUUUAGGAGUCAAAAAUUCUCUUUUUACAUCAUAGAAUUCUCUAGUGCCAUGAAAUUUGCAGCAAUCCUCCUAGACUCAUAUCCAAGAGGUUGAUAUCCAAAGUCCCCUUUAGAGAUAAACAAUGUACGAACACAUUCAUUUACUCAAAAUACACUUUCUUUAUGCCAGGAAAAGCACUUAGCAAUGGAGAUAAAGUGAUGACUGAAAAUAUAAUCCCAGCCUUUGAGGAUCUCAAAACACUCUAACUUAAAAGGAAUGGAUAGGACUUUGUUUUCAAACAAGGUGCUAUUGACUUGCUGGAAAGGAAAGUAUUCACAUGGCCAGAUAAUUUGUGCUUCCAAAAAAAUGACAAAUAUUCCUUGCCAAAAUUCUCAAUAGAAAACAUUAUCAGCAAUGUGUUUUCCCUUAAAUAGUCCUCUCUAUAAAACUCCUCUGGUAGCAGGUGUAUCUGAAUUAUAAAGCAGUGAUGGUUUCCAUUCUCCAAACUACAAGUAAGUAGUAUCUUCAAAUCAGCCACUGGAAUCCAUGGUCAAACCAGACUGUUAGACACAUUUUAAACUUGAACACCAAGAAUUGAUCAGCCUAAUGAAGAAUACAGUCACCGGUACAGCUCUAGCUCCCAAGAAAAGUCUAAUCAUAAUGCAUGCUUGCUCAUAUUCCAAACAUUCAAGCAAUAAUUCAUCAGUAUUUUCUAAUAAAAAAAAAGAAUAUAGAAACCAGAAAGCUUUGUUUUACACUAUCCAAAUUAUCCAAGCUGAAAGAUCGAAUUUCUUCAUUCCACAUCCUAAGAAUUUUUUUUUUUUCCUUGUCUUUUUGCCUUUUCUAGGGCUGCUCUUGUGGCGUAUGGAGGUUCCCAGGCUAGGGGUCGAAUCAGAGCUGUAGCCACUGGCCUACGCCAGAGCCACAGCAACGUGGGAUCCGAGCUGCGUCUGCAACCUAGACCACAGCUCUCGGCAACGCCGGAUCCUCAACCCACUGAGCAAGGGCAGGGACCGAACCCGCAACCUCAUGGUUCCUAGUCGGAUUCGUUAACUACUGCGCCAUGACGGGAACUCCAAGAAGUUUUCUAAUAUUUUUUAGUUGUGAGAUAAGGAAAUUGUUUAGUAACCUUUGUUAAUUAAGCCAAACUAGGUAUAUAUGGGAAAUAAGAUUGCUAGUUGCUGGAGGCCAGCUCUGGCAGCCAGGGAAUAUAUAUCCCGAUCAGAGAUGGACAGCGUAGGCGAAAGAACAGAGACAGCCUCUUUGUCCCUUCUUUCAGGGUGCCGGACUGCUCAAAUUUUAUUGGCAUAAGUGGUUGAUUAUAUAGACAGUUUUUCACUACAGAUUACAUCAUAGUGUUAAAAGUACAUUGGUUAACUAUUAGGCUUUGUUUUUUGAUAACAUGGUACAGCAGCAAUACGUCAUGCUUUAAAAUCUUUAGUCUAACUAAAUUUAUAAGAACAAUUCAAGGACAAACAGGAACAGCAUAAUCAUGUGGGAAAGAGGAGACCCAGCACAAACCAUCUCAUGGCCAGCCAAUUCCCACAAGCUGAAGAAGUUACAAACACAAAAAAUCCUGUAUUUAGACUAGUAUCUGUCUUCAAAGUGUCCUUGGCAGGGAGACAGUGUGAGAAAAUACAAAUCAACUUAGCUAGCUACUGUUAAAAGUUUCUAAACUCAAGGACAAAACUCACAGCUGGGUUUCUUUUGAUCAAGAAUAAUAUAUGUCUAACUUCUUUGGACCUCAUUAAAAUCCUAACUCUAAAGUUUACUAUAUAACUAGUUAAUAGAUAAACACUAUGUUUUAACUAAGUUGGAUUUAAAUAGGGAAAAGUCCUUCAGGAUAAAAUUCUUAUUAUAUUAUUGCUGUAACUUUGUUAAAUCACAAAUCACCACAGGAAAAUAGGAAUGGGAAAUAAAAAUAAUAAGCAAAUAAUCAGGAAAGACUGAGCAAAACUGAAUAACAAAUAAAACAACAGGAAAGACUAGGUCACCCGAGAAGCAAUCCAUGUUUUCCAGUGCAAACAUGGAAAUUGUUUUCCCAGGAAAGCCCCAAUUCUUCCCCAACAUGAUAGCCGUGUAACCUGAGGCCUGUCCUUGGCUUGUACCAUUCAGGCAGGCUUUUAUCCUGACUAGAGGCCCACCUUUGGCAUGUACGGUUCAGGUGAGCUCCCUUCCUUGGUUAGGAACCUGCCUUCAGGUUUUUCUGCCAUUAGACAUGGUCCUUUUUUUGAGUCCUUACAUCCCCUCGGCUCCCCGCAGCUAGUUAAGAUGUAGGCAAAUCAAGAAAGACCUUGAGAGUCAGGAUAAGUAGUUUGUAAAUGAUUAUCUCACCAGUGGGGAGUUAGGUCUUCUGAACAAACAAGAUACUUCAUAUCAUUAUUAUGAAGUGUACACUGUUGACAUGUAAAAUGAGUUGGAGACUGGACAAGGAGUCUGGAUAGGGGUAAUUUCCUGCAUGAAAAUUAGGUGGUAUUUUAAAUGAAAUAGAAAAUAAAGCUAGACUAUAAGAUUCCUUUCAAAGAAAUACAGUGUAUUUGAAUUUCUCUACUUUUUGGCAUCUUAAAUUUUAAGAGUAUAAUUUUUAAUCCCAGUUGACUAUGAUUAGGAUAUUACUUAUAUGUAAAAUUGAGCUGAUAAUAGCUACUAGCUCACAGAAUUAUUGUGAUGAUUGAAUGGUAUAAUGCAUUAAAUAUAGUAUUAGCAGAAUAUCUGAUACAUAACAAGGACUCUAUCAAAAAUGAUUUUUUCAAGAUUACUAUAUUAUUAUUAUUAUAAACAACAAAAAUGAAAGAAAAUUGUAUUUUUCCUUUUGAAUACAUUCUUCCUUUUGUGUUUACCAGGUUCUUUUAAUGUUUCAAAUGAAAGCCUAAAUAAAUGGAUUUUAGCAUAAAACAUCACUGGAUGAAAUAGCAAUUGGGGUACUGUGGAGAUAAGAAACUUACUUUUCACUUUUUUAAUUUUUAAAAAUAUAUUACCUAUUUAUGGGAAACAAACAUGUUUAAAAUAAGACAGAAACAAUAAUUUGUAGUCAACUAAGAUAGCAAUUACCAAAUGACAGAUACAAGUUUAUUCAAAAGUGAGUAUAAUAAUUAUGAGUUAACUUCAUUGAAGUGCCUACUAUAUGCCUGCUACUGUUUUGAGCUAUUUCAUGUGUAUAUUAAUUAAUUAUGAGUUUAGAUUCACUAGUCUCCUGAAGCACAAGGAUGAUAUUAUUAGUACUCCAAGUUAUUGAGGAAGUACAAAGAGGUUUACCUAGUUCCCUCCAGUUUACUCCACUUAUUCGUAGUAGAACUAAGAAAUAAACCCAGAUGAUGUUGCUUAAUGUAUGUAUGUACUUAUGAAUAUAUCACUUAAGAAAACAAAAUUUUAAAGCAAGUUCUGUAUGAUCAUAAUUGGCUCUGCCAGACUCAAUAUGGGGGCAGAGGUUUGAGGGAGGAAAUACUAUUUCCAUAUUUGAUAAAUCUAAUUCUAUGGUCCAGUGACUGGACACAUCUGAACAACCUGUUGAUAACCAAGGCUUUAACUAGAUGACAUGAAUAAAACUUUUUUUGUUUGUUUGUUUUAGGAAAGAAGAAUAUAAAUUAAAUAAUAAAAAUCUCUGUAGUGUAAACACUUUGAGACUAGUAAAUUGUCCUCAAUAUCCAAAUUUAAAUGUCUGCAUAAAGAGAAAAUCAAUGAAUCUUUUUCUAAUUCUCUCAAAAUAUUGAGAUAUCUUAAGCUCUGUCUGUUUUGCACCUGCCAAAUGAAUUAUUGAAUAUAUAAGGGUGAAGCUAAGCCAGAGCUAUUGAAAUUGGUUGCAACUGGAUAGAUGACCUUCACUGCUGAAAACUCCUGCAAAUGGCAACAUCACUCAAAGUUUGCAAGACUCUGCUGUGAAAACAAUACAAAGUGGCUUGCAUUAGAAUGUCUGCCUCAGGUGAGAAGUCCAUUUAGGAGCUUUGUGAAACUUCUGAGUGUUAUUGGGUCCAGGGCUUUGAGAUUUAACAAGACUUGAGUUUGAAAGGUGUGCAGUCUGAAGUGGCUUUUGCCAAUUUGUUCCUUGAAAAUUCACAUUAUAAAAAACAACCGUUCCAUUUUAUUUAUUUAUUUUUUUUGUUCUUUGAUAGUUACCCAAUUUUACAUUUAUCUGUUAUCAUAAGCAAACUCUAAGACAAAGUAAACAUCAUAUUUGUGUGAAACUGCCUAACCCUAACUCUGUGAUCUUUGGCAGGAUUCGGAAAGCAUUAAGGAGUUUAGGCUAUAUCUAUAGUACACUGUAGCAAUUCUAAGUCCCUAGGAAGCCUUUAUGAUUCAUUUUUAUACAUUGUAUUUUCAAAUCAAGGGAUCAAAAGACACAUUAUUUUGCUGAAGAUCUGGUAAUCUGUGAGUUCACUUACUACAAGCCAUGAAUAUACACUUACAAGAGGAACUGAAAGCUACUUAUUUCUGAAAGCUAGGUGAGUUAUGAAUGGAUACAAAAAGCUGCAUGUUGCCAAGAGUUUACUUAAGAACCUAUUUCAUUAAUCUAUUGUUAAAUCUCGGUGACAUUUAAUAACAUAGCAAAGUUCCCACUAAGCACAUGAACUUUGGGAAUUCUAAAAAUCUUUAGAAAGGCUUCUUAUCAAUAUGUUUUGAGGCUUUUAUGGGUUUAACUGCUGUUGCUUUUAUUUUUAGUUAUAAAUUACUAUUAAUUUAGCACCGUCAUUCUCAAUGUAAUUUCUAGCAGUUGUUUUGCUUAAUUUCACAAUUUAUAAUGAUAUGUAUUUAUAUAAACAUAGUCAUUUCUGUCUUUUUUAGUCAAAGGGAAUGUGAAUAUUUGAGUCUUUCUUUUAAUCUAUAGAUUGAGAAACUGAGGAUCUCAGGAGUUGUAACUUGCCAAAACAUAAGUAUUUUGAUUUCUAAGCCAUUUUUUCAUGAAAACAUUACCAUGUAAUUAUAACCAAAAUAAGCAAUCUAUUCCAACUGGCCAAAGUCAAAAUUUAGACUUUGGAAAAACCAUGUACAGGAUUUAUAAUUCAGCACUAAUAUUAGUGCUUUAUUUUUUAUGACAAAUAAAAGCUAUUGUAUGACUA
rnacentral:lncRNA from 1 species